ACCCCCGGGAUGGCUUGCUGGAUCUAGUCUACGUAAGAGGGCUCAUGGAAUGUUGUUAUUAAUCAGGAAGAAAGAAAAGAAAGCAUUUCGUUGCGACAUUCACAGUCAACAAAGGCAAGAAGUCUCUCCCUACUGUAGACAAGGUCUCCUGGACCAAGUCCUUGAAUUUUUAAAGGGCCAAAAGGAGAACCCAGGUCCCUGACUGUGUUUUUCUCAGGGACUGCAGGAGUGCCACACACUCUGGAAAUGCACGUGAGUGAUGUGACAUCCGCAUGGGCUUCAUCUUUGUCGUUGAAGUCAACUGAAUUCCGGAGCAAAGUAGAAGUACAAGGAAGCCACCUAACUCUACAAAUGUCAUCUUUUCACAUCACCUCGUAUACAUAUUUAAGGAAUCAAAACAGCAAGAUCAUAAUCCUGACAAUUAAAAAAAAAAGCCCCCCCCCCAAUAAAACAACCAAAAAUAACACAAAACAUAUUUUUUUUAAUAUUUUAAAGAGCAGGAAUAAAGAAAGAAAAGAAUUUAUUUCUGGGUCUCAAAGUUAAUAAACGUAACGUGUUAGGUUGUACCUAUUAUGCUCACUAUCCCAACCUUUUUUUUUUUUUUUUUUUUUUUUAUUAUAAACACUAUUAAAUUCAGACCGCUUUUUUGGUUUUUUUUUCUUUAUCUGAAUAUACAAGAACAUUCAUUAUCAAAUGUUCAUCAUCAAUACUACAAAGAACGAGACACAAGUCGCAAGAAACAAUGGAAAAUGUUAAUAAAGCUGAAAGAAUUGUUGAGUAAUUUUUUUUUGUAUUUUUUUAAGUUUUUUUUAAAUUUGAGUUUCUGUAGUUUCAUCUUUUUUGGUAUCGAAGUCAGGUUUUUCUGGGCAGAAAAAUAAAACUCAGAAGGAAAGGGGGGGUAAGGUAUGUGAGAGAAGGCAACCAGGAAAUAAAGAACCACCACCACAGCA
rnacentral:lncRNA from 12 species